AUGGGCCUCCUCGACCAGCUCUGGGACGACACGGUCGCCGGCCCGCGCCCGGACCACGGCUUCAGCAAGCUCCGGAAAUACUCCUCCUCGCCCUCGAGCACGGCGGCCGCGGACGUCGCGCCGGUAGUUACCCGGAGCAUCACCAUCGCCCGGCCGCCGUCUCUCUCCGUCCCGUUUGGCGAGUCGAGCUCCCUCCCGUCCUCCCCGGCCUGUGCGCCGGACUCCCCGUUCACAGCAGCUAGCAGUAGCACGCCCAGGGUGGACGGCUGGAGGGCGUUCCGCCGGAAGUCCAAGAUGGCCAACGUUGACGUCGUCCGGGCGGAGGCAACCGUCGGGCCCAGAAGCCCCACCGUGUACGACUGGGUGGUGAUCAGUUCAUUGGACCGAUGA
rnacentral:rRNA from 1 species